rnacentral:rRNA from 1 species
GGCGGACGGGUGAGUAACACGUGGGCAACCUGCCUAUAAGACUGGGAUAACUUCGGGAAACCGGAGCUAAUACCGGAUACGUUCUUUUCUCGCAUGAGAGAAGAUGGAAAGACGGUUUACGCUGUCACUUAUAGAUGGGCCCGCGGCGCAUUAGCUAGUUGGUGAGGUAAUGGCUCACCAAGGCGACGAUGCGUAGCCGACCUGAGAGGGUGAUCGGCCACACUGGGACUGAGACACGGCCCAGACUCCUACGGGAGGCAGCAGUAGGGAAUCUUCCGCAAUGGACGAAAGUCUGACGGAGCAACGCCGCGUGAACGAAGAAGGCCUUCGGGUCGUAAAGUUCUGUUGUUAGGGAAGAACAAGUACCAGAGUAACUGCUGGUACCUUGACGGUACCUAACCAGAAAGCCACGGCUAACUACGUGCCAGCAGCCGCGGUAAUACGUAGGUGGCAAGCGUUGUCCGGAAUUAUUGGGCGUAAAGCGCGCGCAGGUGGUUCCUUAAGUCUGAUGUGAAAGCCCACGGCUCAACCGUGGAGGGUCAUUGGAAACUGGGGAACUUGAGUGCAGAAGAGGAAAGUGGAAUUCCAAGUGUAGCGGUGAAAUGCGUAGAGAUUUGGAGGAACACCAGUGGCGAAGGCGACUUUCUGGUCUGUAACUGACACUGAGGCGCGAAAGCGU